AUGAGCAGACCACAGGAGCCACACCGCCCCUUCUUUUCAUUUGGGAAUCCUUUCCGGAUGAUAUCACCGAAGGGCUCUCAGUUGUCCCCAAGACUUCUUUCUUUAUUGAAUGCUUUUGAGGAAACCUUGGCUGAGAGAUUGAGGAAACUUAAUCCAAAAGACAAGAAUGAUGUUCUCAGCUUAACAUGGAUGAAAUUGGCAAUGGAGACACUUUGUGAGACUCAUGCUGACAUAAAAACCCUAAUCACAAAUCUUGAGCUCCCAGUAACUGACUGGGAUGAAAAGUGGAUAGAUCUG
rnacentral:lncRNA from 1 species